rnacentral:rRNA from 1 species
GUGGGGAAUAUUGGACAAUGGGGGCAACCCUGAUCCAGCAAUGCCGCGUGUGUGAAGAAGGCCUUCGGGUUGUAAAGCACUUUUAUCCGGAACGAAACGCGCUUGGUGAAUAGCCAGGUGAACUGACGGUACCGGAGGAAUAAGCACCGGCUAACUUCGUGCCAGCAGCCGCGGUAAUACGAAGGGUGCAAGCGUUACUCGGAAUUACUGGGCGUAAAGCGUGCGUAGGUGGUUUGUUAAGUCUGCUGUGAAAUCCCCGGGCUCAACCUGGGAAUGGCAGUGGAUACUGGCAAGCUAGAGUGCGGUAGAGGGAUGUGGAAUUCCCGGUGUAGCGGUGAAAUGCGUAGAGAUCGGGAGGAACACCAGUGGCGAAGGCGGCAUCCUGGACCAGCACUGACACUCAGGCACGAAAGCGUGGGGAGCAAACAGGAUUAGAAACCCGAGUAGUCC